AUAUUGCAUUUCAUCAUGUCAAUCAGAAUCAGAUAAAAAAAAAACUUUAUUUAAAAAAAAAAAAAACGAAAAAAGAUAAACAUGAAAAUAUCACCACCAAACUUUAAUUUAUCCAAGGGAAAGGGAAAAGAUUCAAAAAUAACCCAAUAUGUAUAUGCAAAGCUAUAAGAUUAAACUUAAGCUAAGCAAAAAGGGGGGAGAUUUUAAAGGUACGGGUGUGUGUUAUGAAAAGGGAAGGUAUUAGCAUCCUAAUCAUCUGUAGUACUCUACAGGAACCUUU
rnacentral:lncRNA from 1 species